rnacentral:rRNA from 1 species
UACAGAGGGGGCAGCGUGUUCGGAUUGAUUGGUGCGUAAAGGGCGCGUAGGCGGCUUUGCAAGUGGCGGGUGAAAUCCCUCGGCUUAACCGAGGAACUGCCUGUCAGACUGGAAGGCUUGAGACCGGGAGAGGUGAGUGGAAUUCCCAGUGUAGCGGUGAAAUGCGUAGAUAUUGGGAGGAACACCAGUGGCGAAGGCGGCUCACUGGACCGGAACUGACGCUGAGGCGCGAAAGCGUGGGGAGCAAACAGGG